AUUGAACGCUAGCGGGAUGCUUUACACAUGCAAGUCGAACGAGUGGCGGACGGGUGAGUAAUAUAUCGGAACGUGCCCAGUAGCGGGGGAAAACAACUGGAAAAGGUGGUAAAAACCGAAUAUUAUUGGAACGGCCGAUAUCGGAUUAGCUAGUUGGUGGGGUAAAGGCUCACCAAGGCACCGAUCCGUAGCUGGUUUGAGAGGACGACCAUCCACACUGGGACUGAGACACGGCCCAGACUCCUACGGGAGGCAGCAGUGGGGAAUUUUGGACAAGGGGGGAAACCCUGAUCCAGCCAUCCCGCGUGUAUGAGAAGGCCUUCGGGUUGUAAAGUACUUUUGGCAGAGAAGCGGUAUCUGCAGAAUAAGCACCGGCUAACUACGUGCCAGCAGCCGCGGUAAUAC
rnacentral:rRNA from 1 species